rnacentral:rRNA from 1 species
AUUGAACGCUGGCGGCAUGCCUUACACAUGCAAGUCGAACGGUAACAGGUCUUCGGAUGCUGACGAGUGGCGAACGGGUGAGUAAUACAUCGGAACGUGCCCGAUCGUGGGGGAUAACGAAGCGAAAGCUUUGCUAAUACCGCAUAAGAUCUACGGAUGAAAGCAGGGGACCGCAAGGCCUUGCGCGAACGGAGCGGCCGAUGGCAGAUUAGGUAGUUGGUGGGAUAAAAGCUUACCAAGCCGACGAUCUGUAGCUGGUCUGAGAGGACGACCAGCCACACUGGGACUGAGACACGGCCCAGACUCCUACGGGAGGCAGCAGUGGGGAAUUUUGGACAAUGGGCGAAAGCCUGAUCCAGCCAUGCCGCGUGCAGGAUGAAGGCCUUCGGGUUGUAAACUGCUUUUGUACGGAACGAAAAGACUCUUUCUAAUAAAGAGGGUCCAUGACGGUACCGUAAGAAUAAGCACCGGCUAACUACGUGCCAGCCGCCGCGGUAA